GACGAACGCUGGCGGCGUGCUUAACACAUGCAAGUCGAACGGAAAGGCCCUGCUUGCAGGGUACUCGAGUGGCGAACGGGUGAGUAACACGUGGGUGAUCUGCCCUGCACUUCGGGAUAAGCCUGGGAAACUGGGUCUAAUACCGGAUAGGAGCCAUUUUUAGUGUGAUGGUUGGAAAGUUUUUUCGGUGUAGGAUGAGCCCGCGGCCUAUCAGCUUGUUGGUGGGGUAAUGGCCUACCAAGGCGGCGACGGGUAGCCGGCCUGAGAGGGUGGACGGCCACAUUGGGACUGAGAUACGGCCCAGACUCCUACGGGAGGCAGCAGUGGGGAAUAUUGCACAAUGGGCGCAAGCCUGAUGCAGCGACGCCGCGUGGGGGAUGACGGCCUUCGGGUUGUAAACUCCUUUCGCUAGGGACGAAGCUUUUUGUGACGGUACCUAGAUAAGAAGCACCGGCUAACUACGUG
rnacentral:rRNA from 1 species